GCAGGCUCGCGCCGGGCGGGGGUCGCGGUCGGCCCACAGGCUGGGCACUAACGGGUCCCGGGGCGCCGGGGCGGACUGCGGCGGUCGUAGUGGACUAAUUUUACAGGCGAAGUUAAGUGACUUACCCAAAACCUCACAGCUAAUAAACGGCAGAGCCGGCACCCAGCUGUACUGGCUUCCAGCGCAUCCCAUUAUCUCCAUAAAUCCCCCUGAUUCAACUAAUAUUAGACGCCCCACAGGUAAGAUGCUUCAGAGUUAGAGGGGAGUUGAAGAUACCUUUGCCUUCAAAGAAGUAAGGAAUGAAACAAAGAUAAAACAGACAAUAAAAGACAAACCAUGAUAGGUGCCACGUGAAAAGUGGCAGAGUACUGCCGGGAAUCAAAGAACCGUGUAUAUCUGUCUUGGGGAUAAGGAAAGAAACGCAGCAUGAAGGAGUAGGCAUUUGGGAUUGACCUUGAAGGAGACAGGGAGAGUUUUACAGCAAGAAGGGAUAGCAUGAGAAUAUAUAUGAAGGCGAAUCAGUGAAAGUUGUGUUGGGGAAAGAGCAAAGACUCCAGGUAUGUUGAGAGGUAGAAAAGACAAAGGAGUAUGGGGCCUAAGAUACCAAAUGGAUGAAUUUAUAUUUAAUUCAGUAUUUUGAGUUUUUAUGGUUCAGAAGUUUGGGGGAAGAAAAGGAAGGUUUUUUUUUUCUUUAUGCUAGUGAUUUAUCUGUGAAGGGAAGCAGAAAUCAGAGGUGGAAAAACUGACAGAUCUACUGUAGGCCAGGUAAAAGGUAAUGAUGAGUCUGACCUAAAGGGACAGCCAGGGGAAUUUAAAGAGCAUAGUUGAGAGAUGAUGUGCAUGCAGAAUCUAUAGAAUUUGCUAACUGAUUGAUUAAUUGUGGGUAGGAAGAGAGAAAUCAAAGAAAGUGGAGGUUUUGAGUUUCUAGAUAAUUGCAAGAGAGAAAAGAGACAAUUACAAAGGAAAGGAGAAGGAGCUACUUCUUGAGAGAAGAUCAGUUUAGAUUUAGACAUUUUAAGAAUUCAAAGGGUUGUCAAGACAGCCAGACGGACAUGGACACUAAUAAGUUAGAAAUAAAGGUUUUGUAAUAUGGGAAAGAGGACUGAGCUAGAAAAUAGACUCAUAGAUAAUCAGCCUAGGAGUGAUAUUGCUGUGAGAUAAAAGAAGAAAACAAAGUCAGAAUCUUGGAAAACACCCUCUUCAGAGUCUCGCUGCUCAAAACGUGGUCAGUGGCCCAGCAGCACUGACAUGAGGACCUUAGUUGGAAACUCAGAAUCUCAGGCUCCACCCCAGACCUGCUGAACCAGCAUCUUCAACUUAACAAGAACCCGAAGAGAUUUGUGCCACAUCAAAAAGUUUGAGAAGCUCUGAUCUAGGUGAGCCAAGCCAGCAAAGAAAGGGGGUGGAGCAGAAAAUGGGAGGAGAAUAGGGUAAUGCAGAAUCAUCAAGACAAGGUAAAUUGGACUUUCACAAAAACGGGGCUGGAAGGAGUGUUGCUCAACAAUAUCCAAAACCACAGAGGUUGAAAAGCACAAGGAAAGAAGGUAUGUUUGCACUUUGUGAUUAGGUAGUAGGGUCUUUAAGACCACAUUGUUCUCAUUGAAAGCCUGGGAAGAAAGAUCCCCUUUCUGGUCAAGGUUAGUCUAGGGAUCCAUCCCCUCUUCCCCAGUUCCCACGUAUAUGGGACAUGUCGAGAUAAGUAGAUAGAUUGGACAGUGGGAGAAAGUAGUUCUCUUCCAGUUGCUUCUAUUUUCUCAGCAAAGUGAGGAACAAGAUCAUUUUGGCAGACUGCUAAUUGUCCAUCAUAAUUUAGUCUCCCCUUCUCCCUGAAAACACAGACUGCUUUUCUCAGCCUCUCUUUCAGUUGCAUAUGGUCAAGUAUUAAGUUAUAGAACAUGAGCAGAUGUUAUGUCUGCCACUGUCAGGCCAAGGCGUUUACUUUGAGAGUACUUGUGCCUCUUUCAUACAUUUUCCUUUCUGCCAGCUGGACCCUGGACACGGUGACUCUGAUUCAAUUAUGCAGAUGACCACAAGCCUCUGGGGUUGGCAGAGCCACAAGAAAGAAGGUGCCUGGAUGAAGGAGAGCUACCCACUGACCUGGACACCCAAUUAUGUCAUAGGUGCUGCAAUCUAGAGACAAAAUAUUCCUUACACUGCCAGAUACUUGCAAACUAAGGGGAACGAGCUUCCCUCUGAAUGUUUAUGAAGGAGAGACCACUGUGUCAUCUGUCUUAGAGCUAUUGGAAUCCUGGAUCAUUGUGGGAAAUGAAAAGAACUGGUUUUUAGCAAGGAGACCAAGAAACUCUACUCCCUAGGGGCUAGCAAUGAGAGAAAGGAAGCCUUGAGUCUUUGAGCACAGGGUGACAGUUUGGGUCCUAUGUGAGAUGAUCAAAUCCACAGCAACAGAGGAAAGGACAAAAGGAAAAGAUACUUCGAUGGAAUCAGCAGCCAUUGAUCCAAUGCCAACUCCAAGACUGGAACGUCGCAAUGAUAGUUCCAAGGCGGAAAUUUGAC
rnacentral:lncRNA from 1 species